rnacentral:rRNA from 1 species
AACGAACGCUGGCGGCAGGCUUAACACAUGCAAGUCGAGCGCCCCGCCAGGGGCGCGGCAGCCGGGUGAGUACCGCGUGGGAACGUACCUUUUGGUUCGGAACAACUCCGGGAAACUGGAGCUAAUACCGGAUAAGCCCUAACGGGGAAAGAUUUAUCGCCGAAAGAUCGGCCCGGGUCUGAUUAGCUAGUUGGGGAGGUAACGGCACACCAAGGCGACGAUCAGUAGCUGGUCUGAGAGGAUGAUCAGCCACACUGGGACUGAGACACGGACCAGACUCGUACGGGAGGCAGCAGUGGGGAAUAUUGGACAAUGAGGGCAAGUCUGAUACAGCCGUGCCGCGUGAGUGAUGAAGGCCUUAGGGUUGUAAAGCUCUUUUGACCGGGAAGAUAAUGACUGUACCGGAAGAAUAAGCCCCGGCUAACUUCGUG